rnacentral:lncRNA from 1 species
CCAUUCAGGUGAACAAAGAGGAGAUGGAGAAGACGUCAGCACUUCUUGGGGCUCGUCUCAAGGAAUUGGAGCAAGAAGCUCAUUUUGUUGCAGGAGAACGGUUUCUUAUCAUGAGCAAUAACCAGCUUCGAGAGAUCCUCUUUGGCAAGUUAAAGCUGCACCUGCUGAGUCAAAGGAACAGUCUCCCCAGAACGGGGCUGCAGAAAUACCCGUCCACAUCAGAAGCAGUGUUAAAUGCUCUGCGAGACCUUCAUCCAUUACCCAAGAUAAUUUUGG